rnacentral:rRNA from 1 species
AGGACGACGCUGGCGGCGUGCCUAACACAUGCAAGUCGAGCGGAGAUGUACUGAAGAUUUAUCGGAUGUACAUCUUAGCGGCGGACGGGUGAGUAACGCGUGGGCAACCUGCCUUUCACUGGGGGAUAACACAGGGAAACCUGUGCUAAUACCGCAUGACAUCACGUAGGGCAUCCUAUGUGAUCAAAGGAGAGAUCCGGUGGAAGAUGGGCCCGCGUCCAAUUAGCUGGUUGGUGAGGUAAAGGCUCACCAAGGCGACGAUUGGUAGCCGAACUGAGAGGUUGAUCGGCCACAUUGGGACUGAGACACGGCCCAGACUCCUACGGGAGGCAGCAGUGGGGAAUAUUGCGCAAUGGGGGGAACCCUGACGCAGCAACGCCGCGUGAAGGAAGAAGGUCUUCGGAUUGUAAACUUCUUUGAUGAGGGACGAAUAAAGUGACGGUACCUCAAAAACAAGCCACGGCUAACUACGUG